CUCACACUGCUCAAACCACCACGAAAAAAACACCUUAAGCUACAUUGGCGAACCCAUAAUCUUAAAGUUCCACAGUUACAUGUGAAGAAUUUAUGUCCAGGAGAAGCGACUGGUUCGUUUUCCCCAGAGCUCAGGAACGGUGAUGAUCGUAAAGAAUUACUGGUGUCUGAUCCCGAAUCUUUGCAAGAUGGAACACCUAAAGCCUUCCGACAAUUGGGUACUGUUGAAAAGACUACCGCAUAGCUGUUUUUUCCCCUAGCAUAUAUCACCAGACUCCAUUCAGUAGGUGAUCACGAUGAACCUUCAUGCUCAAUUUAUCUGUGAAUUCUUGAAAGAGGUUCAAGAGCACGAUGAACCUUCAUGCUCCUAGAGUAAUCUUACAGAGUUCUCCAUGUCGUUACCAAUUCCUAAUACUCUUGCUUGAACCAAGUACAUGGAGUAUGUUCUGGAAUGAGACUCAAGAACUUUCUCUAGAGUUCACGGCUGGGAGACAUUGUUGUGGCGGAUCAUGUGGUUUUUCGCCAACGAUGGAAAGGUGAAGAAGUACCCAGUCAUUCAUCUCCCAAGGAGAAGCGGUUUUAAGAGGCUAUGAUCUCAAAACCAGAACCUGGGGAAAAAGAUAACUUGGAGAUUAAAGCAGUGGGAACAACGGAGGAACGUAA